UACGGAGGGGGCUAGCGUUGUUCGGAAUUACUGGGCGUAAAGCGCACGUAGGCGGCUUUGUAAGUUAGAGGUGAAAGCCCAGGGCUCAACCCUGGAAUUGCCUUUAAGACUGCAUCGCUUGAACAUCGGAGAGGUAAGUGGAAUUCCGAGUGUAGAGGUGAAAUUCGUAGAUAUUCGGAAGAACACCAGUGGCGAAGGCGACUCACUGGACAUGUAUUGACGCUGAGGUACGAAAGCGUGGGGAGCAAACAGG
rnacentral:rRNA from 1 species